rnacentral:lncRNA from 1 species
UAGGGAGAGGCAAGACACAUUAUUUGCAACUUGUGUUGUUAAGAAAAAUAUGGCAUCCUCGAAGACUUUUCUUCUUCUUGGCCUUGUGUGUGUUGUUCUCAUCCUCAUCGUCUCCGAGUCGUGCGCUAGCUGAAACUACUACUCAAAUUAAUCGUGAGUUUUUCUCUUUCUUAACUUAAACAUAUAUAUCUGUCUCUUUUUUCCACCGGUUUGUGAAUUUAAUUAGACGCAUUCCAAUUGCACUAGGGACCAUGCCAAUAAUUAACAUGCUAUGAACUUGGAACAUCCUUUUUUAGGCCAAACUAAGAAUCUGGAAUACAUAUGGAUGUUUAGUAAUUUUGAAUAUUGUAUGUUUUGCUCCUAACAGAAUGCAAACUGAUCAAUAAGAUUCCGUUAAGUGACAUCUCACCUUUUUUUUUUUUUUUUUUUUUUUUUUAAAAUUUAAAAUUUUUGGUUGUGUGGCAAUUCUUUCUUUAUGAAUAAAGCGAAUGGUGCCUAUGAGAGAAGUGGACAUGGACGGCAAGUUGCCGAUGGACGUGGUGGCUACAAUCGUGGAGGGCAAGGUAGCAGUCGACCCAAUUUAAUCAUCGGUGGAGAAAAAGGUGGUGGUAACGUACAUGAGCAAGACCCUGACAGUCGAGGAGGGAAAGGAUAAGGUCGAGACCAUGGCCACUAUGAAAGACCAGGACCUGGAACUGCUGAGAUUGAAACAAAGCAUCAGAUAACAUGUGGUCCUUAGAGUACUACUAUCUUUGUAUGUCAAUAAAAAGGUCAUUUGGUUGAGUUGUCUAAUGAACUCUCAAUCAUAAGCCUGUCUUUAAUUAAGGUUUAUCUAUGUACUCUACAUAAUGAUCAUAGUGUCAAAAUAUCUAGCAAUUCAAGUUUAUUGUUUGUGUGCUGAAUUCCUUUUGAAAUCUAU